UGGCGGACGGGUGAGUAAUGUCUGGGAAACUGCCUGAUGGAGGGGGAUAACUACUGGAAACGGUAGCUAAUACCGCAUAACGUCGCAAGACCAAAGAGGGGGACCUUCGGGCCUCUUGCCAUCGGAUGUGCCCAGAUGGGAUUAGCUUGUUGGUGGGGUAAUGGCUCACCAAGGCGACGAUCCCUAGCUGGUCUGAGAGGAUGACCAGCCACACUGGAACUGAGACACGGUCCAGACUCCUACGGGAGGCAGCAUG
rnacentral:rRNA from 1 species